rnacentral:tRNA from 2 species
GCCCGCAUGGCUCAGUGGUAGAGCGUGUCACUAGUAAUGACAAGGUCACCAGUUCGAUUCUGGUUGUGGGCA